rnacentral:rRNA from 1 species
UACGGGGGGGGCAAGCGUUGUUCGGAUUUACUGGGCGUAAAGGGCUCGUAGGCGGUCAACUAAGUCGGACGUGAAAUCCCCAGGCUCAACCUGGGAACUGCGUCCGAUACUGGAUGGCUUGAAUCCGGGAGAGGGAUGCAGAAUUCCAGGUGUAGCGGUGAAAUGCGUAGAUAUCUGGAGGAAUACCGGUGGCGAAGGCGGCAUCCUGGACCGGCAUUGACGCUGAGGAGCGAAAGCCAGGGGAGCAAACGGG